GUCACGUCAUCAUCGUCACAGGCAUCCAGGCCGACUUCAACGCAGGGUCCAAGCUCUGCCCCUGCAGAAGACGACGAGGCAGGCACCCCAGCUAGUGUUCCUACGUCCACAACUGCCCCCACGCAAACAGGAAAUAACGCUUCAAUUACAUUUUCAACUAUCAUAAGCACAUCUACGUCGCCUAGUCCUUCAUCCGUUAGUGGUGACACCACAUCGAUACAGCCGACAGAUAUGGACCCACCAUUUACGGUGACGCGCUCUCGAACAACAGAAGUCAGUGGUGACGCAUCGAACACGACCACAACUGAAAGGCUUUUUACUACGCAGAUGACCAUUUUCACAAGCCUGACGAUUGCAGACGUGAAUGCUACAUCUGAUGCUACGACGCAGACUGGAACGGCCGUCACGCAAGCCAGCACAUCAAGCAUCCCUGCUUCUGUAACGACAGUUUCUCCACACUACAUGACAACGACAGGUGAAACAACCCUGCCUCAAAAUAGCAAUACACCAAUAAGGCUGACUACAAUUUUCACGACGUCAAAUGUCCCCACUGGUUUCACAGUCAGCGUUCCUUCCGGCAGCAGCAGCAUUACUGGGACGUCUCCGAGUGACGGCCAAACUAUCAGUCGUACGACACCGGCGAGCAAUUCAAGCCCUGACGCCACUUCAGGGGGAACAAGCUUCUGGCCGUCGUUGCCCUCUCCCUCAAAUACAUUUAAUCCCGAAACUUCUAGCACUGUUUCCGACCAAAGUUCAGCCAACAACUCGACACCUGUUACGACGUCGACUGCUCGUAGUACCACCAUGGCGUCUGUUAUGACAUUAUCAUCCGCGACAUCCACAGCAAGUCUUUCCACGAGUGCCUCGACGUUACAAAGUAGCAACGAAACGUCGGUAACCCACGUCUAUUCUCUCAACGGCAGUGACAUCUGUCAGCCCGACUACAGGCUCAUCGGCAUCAUGUGUCAACAUUACGCUGCCAAACAUCUUCGGUCUCGACACGUGCCUUGGACGCACUCUUGACGCUUGCACUACUGACAACGUGAGUUGCGGAUGUCUACGAGAUCGCUGGAAGCGUGGUUACGUGCACAAUCCGGGUACUCAGCACAUCCUUGAGCCUGCAAUGUGUACUUGCUGCAGUUAAGGACAUCAUCGUGGCAGCGUUCACCAGAUUUAGUUCAGAAGG